rnacentral:sRNA from 2 species
ACAUUUAUGCCAACAAACUUUACAGUAGUUUCCGACGGGAUAUCCAGGUAAGGAGAGACAUUAAUUAAUUUAUAAGCACAUCUUCCAAUUCUGUCAUAAAUUCAUAUUUAUGUACCAUUCCAAUGCAAGUCUAUAUACUGGGAGAAACGCCAAAAUUGACCGUUGAUAAGUUAUGCAGACAAGGCAGUGAAAAAGAUUGGAACCCACGCCCAAAACCGCAUGAGGACUUGGAGGUAGUGGUCAAAACAGCCCUUGAAGCAAAUCCAAAAAGAGUAAAGACUUCCGUGGUCUAGAAUAACAAAUUUAUACCAACCUUCUCAGACGUUCAAUAUACAUAUACAUAUAUAUAUAUAUAUCAAAACCAAUAAUAACCGCCCAAAAAGAGGAAAAGAAAAGAAAAAGAAACCAAAAACCUCAAAUCAAGUAUUAAAUGGGUUCUCAUCUGGACUCCCAAAAGCCGCAUUGAGCAAUUCUUGAUGCAGGUCCGAGUCGCUUGCCAUCCGCCCGCUAUUCACUAACCGCAUCGUCUGCUGUCGUAACGCCUCAGCGGCCUGAGAUGUCAUAUUUCCAGGAACCUGAUAGUCAUUGGGAUGGUCAUGAUGUUGUAUCACUGCAGCGGAACCAGUAUGAUCAAACUCAUGCUGUAAGCUGUGCGGGUCGUGUAGGCUACUGGCUCCAUACGGGUUGACGGUGCUGUGAUGGUGGUGAUGGUGAUGGGGGUUGUGGUGAUUGUGGUCCGGGAAUGGUGGGAGGUGUUGUUGGAUGCCGUCCAUUAUUUGGGGAUCUAGGGGAAUAUCGGCGUAGGUUGCUGUCAUGGCAUCUUCGACGGGUGCGUGCAUCAGUUGAGGGUGAGUACUACCGAAUGUGUUGUCUUUAUCGUAUUCAUCGUGCGCUGUGAGGAGUUGGUCUUGGGGCGUGUCAAAGUCAUUUGUAGGUAUGCUGUAUGUUGUCUGCUCGCGCGAGCCGGAAGACUUUUCUCUUCUGGGUAGAGAAAUUUCCGAGUUGGAGUUGGAGGUAGAUUGGGAUAUUGAGUUGGGAAUGGAGUUAGGGAUGGAGUCAGGGAUGGAGUUCGGAAUGGAGUUGGAGAUUGACUUGGAGUUGGAGUUUGCGUUGGAAGUGGAAUUGGAGUUAGAAUUGGAGUUGGCAGGGGAAACUUUUGGAGUUUCUUUGCACUGCGGACAGUUCUUGAUGACCAUGCUAACUGUUUCUUUGAUACGGACCCAGUGAUACUUCAACGCAAUGGUGGCGGUGGUCUUAUUGAUCCCUCCGUGUUGCUGG